rnacentral:rRNA from 1 species
AGAGUGAACGCUGGCGGCGUGCUUAACACAUGCAAGUCGAGCGAGAUUUGACAGCGUAUCGUCAAGUCUAGCGGCAGACGGGUGAGUAAUAUUUGGGCAAUCUGCCCUUGAGUGGGGGACAACCGGCCGAAAGGCUGGCUAAUACCCCAUAAGACCACAGGGAUGCAUAUCCAAGGGGUCAAAGCUCCGCAAGGGGCGCUUAAGGAGGAGCCCGAAUCCUAUCAUGGUAGUUGGCGGGGUAAUGGCCCACCAAGCCGUUGACGGGUAGCCGGCCUGAAAGGGCAACCGGCCACACUGGCACUGAGACACGGGCCAGACUCCUACGGGAGGCAGCAGUGGGGAAUUUGGACAAUGGGGGCAACCCUGAUCCAGCGACGCCGCGUGAAGGAUGAAGGUCUUCGGAUUGUAAACUUCUUUAGAGGGAUGAAUGCCCUGGUGAAUAACCGAGGGUGACAGUACCCUUAGAAUAAGCCACGGCUAACUACGUGCCAGCAGCCG